CAGCCGCCGCGGUAAUGCGUAGGUGGCAAGCGUUGUCCGGAAUUAUUGGGCGUAAAGCGCGCGCAGGCGGCCUCUUAAGUCUGAUGUGAAAGCCCCCGGCUCAACCGGGGAGGGCCAUUGGAAACUGGGAGGCUUGAGUAUAGGAGAGAAGAGUGGAAUUCCACGUGUAGCGGUGAAAUGCGUAGAGAUGUGGAGGAACACCAGUGGCGAAGGCGACUCUUUGGCCUAUAACUGACGCUGAGGCGCGAAAGCGUGGGGAGCAAACAGGAUUAGAUACCCCAGUAGUCCCUGUCUCUUAUAC
rnacentral:rRNA from 1 species